AACGAACGCUGGCGGCAUGCUUAACACAUGCAAGUUGAACGCAGAAUAGGGCUUCGGCUCUAUUGCUGAGUAGCAAACGGGUGAGUAACGCGUGGGAAUCUACCUUCUUGUGGGGGAUGACUAAGGGAAACUUUAGCUAAUACCGCAUACGCUCUACGGAGGAAAGGCUUCGGCAGCAAGAAGAGGAGCCCGCGUCAGAUUAGGUAGUUGGUGGGGUAAAAGCCUACCAAGCCAAUGAUCUGUAGCUGGUCUGAGAGGAUGAUCAGCCACACUGGGACUGAGACACGGCCCAGACUCCUACGGGAGGCAGCAGUGGGGAAUAUUGGACAAUGGGGGAAACCCUGAUCCAGCAAUGCCGCGUGAAUGAAGAAGGCCUUAGGGUUGUAAAGUUCUUUCACCUGUGAAGAUAAUGACGGUAGCAGGAGAAGAAGCCCCGGCUAACUCCGUGCCAGCCGCCGCCGUAA
rnacentral:rRNA from 1 species